rnacentral:rRNA from 1 species
GACAGAGGGUGCAAACGUUGUUCGGAAUUACUGGGCGUAAAGCGCGUGUAGGCGGCUAAGUAAGUCGGGCGUGAAAUCCCACGGCUCAACCGUGGAAGUGCACUCGAAACUGCGAAGCUAGAGUCCUGGAGAGGAAGGUGGAAUGCUUGGUGUAGAGGUGAAAUUCGUAGAUAUCAAGCGGAACACCGGUGGCGAAGGCGGCCUUCUGGACAGUGACUGACGCUGAGACGCGAAAGCGUGGGGAGCAAACAGG